ensembl:lncRNA
CCGGCUGCUAGCUCUCCCGGGCGCCCGCCGCAGCCGCCUGCUUUUUUAAUGUCCACAGACAGUGAAAAGGAACUCGGCGUUAGGGGGCUGCCGCGGUGUCGGAGGCGAGGCGAGGAAGGGAGCUGGAAUAACAAAGGGCUGGAGAGAUCACUCCUUCUACCGCCGGGAGAGAGGAGGCAACAUGAAUUCAUUCCCAAGGCUCUGGUAGUCUGACAGCCGAUGAACUCAGCCUGGAAUUCCUGAAGGCUUGGAGCCUGCAGCUCGGGUCCCCGGGACUUGAUGUGUCCGUGUGCCGUGCGGAACCUGUUUGAUUUUCCCAGGGGAAACCCUGCCUUCUCCUGCCACUGGGCACUGGGGAAGGUGCUCCUUUCCUGCCUCCUCAGCCUUCCGACCUGUCACAAGGACUGUUACUGCUGCUGCUUCCCCCACUCACCCACCCACAGGUGGCAGCUGAGUAUCUGGGGAGGGUGGGUGAUUUGCAAUCACUUCCUGACCUUUAGGGACACCCAGAGGCACCAUCCCAGCAAAUUCCUGUGGGAGGGAGUCCCUGCUUCUCAGCCUGUGGGUGGCCCAAGUUCACAGGUGGGUUGAGGGCUGCCUGAGAAAUCCUUGAAGGCCUGCUUUGGAAAGUGGGAAUUCAGCUUGCUGCCUGUUGGCUAAACCUACAGCUCACCCACCACAGCAUCCUACAGCAUUGCAAUGAGCAGAAAGCCACCCCCACGCCCAGGACUAAAAUCCCAUAGUGGAGUUUUCCAAGCAUUUAAGGACUUGGAAUGCAAGAAACCAGCCACAGCCAGCAACUGGGCCAGUUCCUGUUGCCUUGAUGACACCGGGUCAGGACACCUGGCCCUCUCAGCCUUCUGUCCAAAUCCCUCACUGAGUACCCAGAGCUGGCUAUCCCUAGGAGGUGGGGGGAUGCAGAUAACCUCAGGAUGACCAUUCAUGUUCAAAAGCUCCUGUCCAGAAGCUUCUGGCCAGUAUUUAUACCUGGGAACCAGGAAGUGACUGCAGGAACCAAGCAGGAGCCAAGCAGGAACCAGCCCAGAGCGAGUGGUAAGGGAUAAGGCCAGCCCUCCCUAGAUGUGCAAGACAGAUGAGCUGCAAGUCUGAGAAACCCCACUCAGGCCUCCUGGGGACCCUGGGCCCCAGUCCUUGCUCUUAGAGGACCCUGCUAUCUCUGACAUCUUCCAGGGAGAUCAGAGGGCAGGUCAGAUUCCCUCUGGGGUCUUGGAUGACACUGUGACCUACUCAGUGCCUACUGUUUGCUGAGGACUGUGGGGCAGGGCAUCUUGGGCAGUAGCUUAUGGCAGUCAAAUUGUGUAUCUAACAAGCCCGCGCUGGGUCCUGAUGCAAAUUCAGGCCCUUGUUAACAGUUUCCUGCUGGCCCUAACCCAGCUCCACAUCUGUAUCCAUGGACUCUGUGUGGCCCCAAACAACUGGCUUUCCCUCUCUGAGCCUUUGUUAGCUUAAGGGCAAGGUCACACUGGCAGUGAUAAGUCUUUCUGAGGCCUAUGUAUCCUGAGGCCCCAGUCUCUCUGCCUCAGCUUCUCUUAUCCAGGAGGUCUGGGGUGAGGCAGAGAUGAACUUACCAUCAUGUCCCAGCCCUGGGACGUGGCAGAUGUACCCCGUUCUGCCAGGGCUGGCCAUGCAUCACUUGUCCAGAGGCAGCUUCAGGACCCACUAUGGGAGCACAGGCUGCAUGGGCGCAGCCCUCGGGUGCUGAUACAGGGCCUGGCUUGGACCCUCCUUCGCCUCGGACUCAGGUGCUAUUCAUUUCCCCUCCCUGGGAGCCAUCAUCAGAACAAAGAGGCCAGACGGAGAGCAAGACCCAGGUCUCAGGAGGCCAGAAGCCACAGGUGUCACUGCGGCUGCAGGAAGAUGAGCAGAGGCUCCACAACCUGCUGGCAUUCUCAAAGCUGCUGGCACUUGGCCUUGACUCUUCAGGACCCUUCUCCUGGGUCAGUGUCUCACUCUCACCGUGGAGCUCUGCUCUUCCUGCUCCUGGCUCCACAUCCAGCUCAGCCCCUGCCCCGCCCCCUCCAGGGAGACCCGGAGAGGAGACUGAGAGCCUGCUUCAGCAUGGGGAUACCUCAGUGCCCAGCCUGCCACUCCUGACCUACAUAUGGACAUUGGGUCCCAGAUGCCUCCAGGAUGCUGAACUGUUCAAUGAGUGACUUGCUCCCCCCCCCCAAUUAAAAUAGAGAAGAAGAAAGAAAUCCAGGCCUUGUUCCCAGCUACAGCUGGUGCCAACCAAAACCCCGCAGGAAGAAAAUGGAGCAGGAGCCUGCUGCCCAGGGGCCUGGCUGCUGACACAGGCCCUUUCUAUUCUGCUGUCCGCUACAGCCCCUCAAUGGACACCCUUCACCUGUCUUCUUGGCCCCAGUGUAAAUAAUCUCCCAUUAACCUCACAAACUUGGGUAAAUCCAGGUCCCACCACUGCCCUACCAUGUUUUCCUUCCUCACCCACCCAUUGCCUGAAAUGAGCUAGGCUCCUUCCCUGCCAGCCUAGUGCCUACCCUACCAGAUGAGGACUGCAGUGCCUGUCUGGGGAAGUUGCACGAGUGCCUUCUCCAUGGAGCCAUAGGGGAGACCCUGCUUUGCUUCCAAGAUGGACCUAGGAUGAUGUUCCACCCUGUGCUGGGUGCCAGCCUUUCACUCACACAUGGAGGCCAUCACAGUGGGGUCUGUGGGCAUGAUGAACAGCUAGUUCUACAGAGGUGAAAGUACAGUACUUUAAAGUCACCCAGAGACAAAAGUGGUUUAAAAGUUGCCCAGUUUAUUCUCUGCCUGUGAUCUUAGAAGAAAAGUGUUCCCCAAAGUCUCCUAUGCCGUCUUUCUUUUGGUUUUGGUUUUUUAGACAGUGUCUCACUUUGUAGUUCAGGUUGGCCUUGAACUCACUACAUAGCCCAGGCUGGACUCGAACUCAUGGUAAUCCUCCUGCCUCCGCCUGCCAAAUGCUGGGAUUACAGGCCUAUGCCACCAUGCCUGGCUCCCAUGCCAUCUUAUUGCAUCCUGCCCUCUGGGAACUCUGUCUACCCAUGGAGCCCAGCUUCCCAAGGCGUGAGCUGGUCUGAUCCAGAUUUCUCCAGACAGCCCUAAGGGAGCCACAUCCUGCCCACUGGCUGGUGUCCACCAGGAACCCUUGAGUCAGGCUGGCCACCACAGACAGCUUUCUAAGCUCUCUCCUCCCUCCUAUGGGCAAAACACUUCAGACAGUAUAAAAAAAAAAAAGUACUUCAUGUCACAUGUGAAUGCCACAGCAGCCUCAGGAGGAUGCAGAUUUGCAGAUUGCAUAGCUCACUUUGGGCUUCAAAAGGCCUAGCACUCUGGCUAAGGUCACAUGGGCACUGGACAGAGUUGUCAUUUGAACCCUGGUCUCUUGAUUCCAUGCCACUAAGGAAUGGGGAUGCAGGUGGCAAUGACCUCAGAACAUGGCAUUCUCAGCACUGGGAUGCUACCAGAAGACAAAAAUCUCAGACACUGAUUCAUUGAUUCAAUCAACAAAUAUUUAUUAAACACUAGCUGUGUGCUGGGCCCGAACCUCGGCACUGGGUGUCCAACUGUGAAGCAGUAGAUCUGGUUCAUGCUGCCCCACACCUGUGUUAGGUGUUGGAGACAGACACUGAAACAGACCUUGUGUGGAAAGACCUCCCCUCCCACCGCGUAGCCAGCAUCCUAGCAAAGCCCAGGGCCAAAGGGCAGGAGAUAGGGCUCUGGUCCCAGUGUUGCCCCUAACUGGCCAUGUGACAUCGAACAAGGUUUCCCACCUCUGAAAUCUGUAUGCCAGUGCCUCCCCAUAUGUUUUCUGGGGUUCCUGCCCAACUCCCACCUUCUGGGUCAAGUGGUUAAUGAUUUCCUGACAUGAAUAAUUACUCUGAUUUGGUGUUUUCUGAAACCCAACUUUUCGUAGGCACUUGGAGCCAGAAAGGGGCUUCUGAGUCCCCUGACCUGAGCCUCUCACUAAGUAGGAACCCCUUAGCCUCAGUGCUCCUUGGAAGUGACGGGUAUUGCUUGUCCACUUCCGGAGAUGGGGCACUCACUGCCCCCACACACUGCAGAGCUCUCUGCACAGUGGUGUGCUGGUAAAUGUUUAACAUCUGGCUCUCCAAAGGGGGGAAAACCUGGUUUGUAGUAUUUGCUCAUUUCCAUCGUGUAAACACUCCCACCACAGCCCCAUUUCAAGCGGCCAGUCUAACAUCAACCUCACACUUUCUGAAAAAUUGAGUCAGCUCUUAGGAGCUGGUCCAAGCAGGCUACAACCCACCAAUGCCCCGGCCUACAGAGAAGUCUCAUCCAGCUUUACUUGCUGGAAAGUUCCUGCUGAUAUCAAGCGUGACACCUGAUUGGUCAGGCACUCGGGUCUGAAGGGAGAUUGACCUCUGAAGGCCUUUGGAGAUCUCCUUGUGACGGGGAGGGGGAUGGGGGUGGUGGUCCUGGGGCCAGUGGACACUGGGGAGACCCACCCUCCUGCUCGGCCUUUCUACCGCCUUUCCUCUUUUCUUCUGCUUCUCUCCUAAGUACUUGUUGGCUUCUGCGACACUAUAGAUACUAUGGCAACAGGGACCAAAUCUCGGCUCCCAGCCCCCUGCCUCCCUGCCUGUACCUUCCAGGCUGGAAUCAGAAGCCACCCCUCCCCAAGCCUGACCUGACCUGUACCCCUUCCCUUCCUGCAG